AGAUUGAACGCUGGCGGCAUGCCUUACACAUGCAAGUCGAACGGCAGCACGGGGGCAACCCUGGUGGCGAGUGGCGAACGGGUGAGUAAUACAUCGGAACGUGUCCUUUCGUGGGGGAUAACCAGUCGAAAGACUGGCUAAUACCGCAUGAGAUCUCACGAUGAAAGCGAGGGACCGCGAGGCCUCGCGCGAAUGGAGCGGCCGAUGUCGGAUUAGCUAGUUGGCGGGGUAAAAGCCCACCAAGGCGACGAUCCGUAGCUGGUUUGAGAGAACGACCAGCCACACUGGGACUGAGACACGGCCCAGACUCCGUACGGGGGGCAGCAGGUGGGAAGUUUGGACAAUGGGCGCGAAGCCUGAUCCAGCCAUGCCGCGUGUGUGAAGAAGGCCGUUCGGUUGUAAAGCUACGUUCGGACCGGAACGAAUCGUACCUUUGUUAAUAGCGAAGGUGAGUGACGAGUACGGAAGAAGAA
rnacentral:rRNA from 1 species